UUCCAGACUCCUACGGGAGGCAGCAGUGGGGAAUAUUGCACAAUGGGGGAAACCCUGAUGCAGCGACGCCGCGUGAGCGAUGAAGUAUUUCGGUAUGUAAAGCUCUAUCAGCAGGGAAGAAGAUGACGGUACCUGACUAAGAAGCCCCGGCUAACUACGUGCCAGCAGCCGCGGUAAUACGUAGGGGGCAAGCGUUAUCCGGAUUUACUGGGUGUAAAGGGAGCGUAGACGGCGAUGCAAGCCAGAUGUGAAAGCCCGGGGCUCAACCCCGGGACUGCAUUUGGAACUGUGUGGCUGGAGUGUCGGAGAGGCAGGCGGAAUUCCUAGUGUAGCGGUGAAAUGCGUAGAUAUUAGGAGGAACACCAGUGGCGAAGGCGGCCUGCUGGACGAUGACUGACGUUGAGGCUCGAAAGCGUGGGGAGCAAACAGGAUUAGAUACCCUCGUAUCA
rnacentral:rRNA from 1 species